CAAGAUGUAACCGCCAUAGGUGUAAGAAGCCCGGAAACUUUUCUUGGCUCUUGCCAGGAGAGUCCAAAGAAAAACUGUUUUCAACCUCUGGUUCAAUGGAUGAAUUUGAAAUGAGAGAGAAGCCGUUAAUCUUGGCUUCUGCUCAGAGCCCGGCCUGUUAUCACUCCUCAUCCUCCACUAGACUCUUCCCUGGCCAGGCAAGACAAUGAAAUCAUCUAGCCUUAACUGAUGAUGUGAAUCUCCUGAGCUUCAAUAUGCGCUAGACUACAGCUGCCAUCCCUGGUCCAUUGCUAGUGUCAAGAGGAAGAAGAAUCCAUACAGAUCUCCAGGUGAGACAGAAGAGCACACUUCCUACUGUCUACCCCACAUGUUAACCACAUCUUCUGGGGAACUGCCCUCUUCUUGUCGACCCAGCAGUGUGGAAAUAUGCUCGCCUCUACCUCGCAUACAUUAAGGUAGAAGACAAAAGAGGAGAACGUCCCUGGAUUUCUUUUCCUGGAACCUUUGCUAGGUGGAGGCUCAGAGGCAGCAAGAUAUUCCUUCAUUAGCACUCCCUCAAUUCUUGGAAUCACACUUUGGAAUACAUACUAUGGAGGCACUAUGUAUGUGCCUCCCGUAUCAAGGUACCAAGCAGAUCAGAAUAGGAAAACCCAGCACCAGUCUGGUUACCAGGAACCAAAUGGUCUCAGAAUCUGUACUA